rnacentral:rRNA from 1 species
UUAACUCUGGUUGAUCCUGCCAGACCCGACUGCUAUCCGGGUAGGACUAAGCCAUGCAAGUUGAAUGGAAUACCUAAAUUUUCCAUGGCGAACCACUCAGUAACACGUGAUCAACUUACCCUAAAGCGGUGUAUAACCUCGGGAAACUGAGGAUAAUGCACCAUAAUUGAAACUGCCUGGAAUGGUUUUUCAAUGAAAGAGUAAUCUGAAUGGAGAUUAUAUCACCUUAGGAUAGGAUCGCGCCCGAUUAUGGCUGUUGGUGAGGUAACGGCUCACCAAACCUAUUAUCGGUAAGGGCCGUGAGAGCGGUAGCCCUGAGUUGGGUACUGAGACAAUGACCCAGGUCUUACGAGACGCAGCAGGCGCGAAAUCUUGACAAUACACGAAAGUGUGAUCAGGUUACCCGGAGUGCUACAAAGUAGCUGUGGCAAGUGAGUUAGAAUCCUUGCUAGGAAGGAGAGGGCAAGGCUGGUGCCAGCCGCCGCGGUAAAACCAGCUCUUCAAGUGGUCGGGACUAUUAUUGGGCUUAAAGUGUCCGUAGCCGGUAUAGUAAGUUCCUGGUUAAAUCGGAUAGCUUAACUAUCUGUUGGCUAGGAAUACUGCUAUACUAGGGGGCGGGAGAGGUCUGAGGUACUCCGGGGGUAGGGGUGAAAUCCUAUAAUCCUUGGGGGACCACCAGUGGCGAAGGCGUCAGACUGGAACGCGCUCGACGGUGAGGGACGAAAGCCAGGGGAGCGAACCGGAUUAGAUACCCGGGUAGUCCUGGCUGUAAACGAUGCGUGCUAGGUGUUGGUAUGGCCUUGAGCCGUAUCAGUGCCGUAGGGAAACCGAUAAGCGCGCCGCCUGGGGAGUACGGUCGCAAGACUGAAACUUAAAGGAAUUGGCGGGCGAGCACCACAAGGGGUGAAGCCUGCGGUUCAAUUGGACUCAACGCCGGGAACCUUACCGGGGGCGCCAGCAGUAUGAAGGUCAGGCUGACGACCUUACCAGACAGGCUAAGAGGUGGUGCAUGGCCGUCGCCAGUUCGUGCCGUGAGGUAUCCUGUUAAGUCAGGCAACGAACGAGACCCGCACCUUUAGUUGCCAGCAAGAGGUUUCGAUCUCGAUGGGAACGCUAAAGGGACCGCCAUCUUAUAGGUGGAGGAAGGAGCGAGCCACGGCAGGUCAGUAUGCCCCGAAUCCCCCGGGCCACACGCGGGCUGCAAUGGUAUGGACAAUGGGAUGCGACUCCGAAAGGAGAAGCUAAUCUCUAAACCAUAUCUCAGUUGGAAUUGUCGGCUGAAACUCGCCGACAUGAACGUGGAAUCCCUAGUAAUCGCGUGUCAUCAUCGCGCGGUGAAUACGUCUCUGCUCGUUGCACACACCGCCCGUCGCUCCAUCCGAGUGUAGAAUAAAUGAGGCUUGGUCCAUUGGGUCAAUCCGAAUUUAAGUUACGCGAGGAGGGAGAAGUCGUAACAAGGUAGCCGUAGGGGAACCUGCGGCUGGAUCACCUCCUAA